rnacentral:rRNA from 1 species
CUUCCGUAGGUGAACCUGCGGAAGGAUCAUUAUCGAAACAGAAUCGAAGAGGGUGGGAGGGACUGUCGCUGGCAUCUCGCAUGUGCACGUCCUUUUUGCUUUCUUCUAUUCACACAUACACACACACACCAGUGCACUUUUUGUAGAUCCCUUCCUCGAAAGAUCAAGGGAUCUAUGUCUUUAUCAUAUCACCUCACAUGUAUGGCCAGAAUGAAACACAAUAAAAAUACAACUUUCAGCAAUGGAUCUCUUGGCUCUUGCAUCGAUGAAGAACGCAGCGAAUCGCGAUAAGUAAUGUGAAUUGCAGAUUUCCAGUGAAUCAUCGAAUCUUUGAACGCACCUUGCGCUCCUUGGUAUUCCAAGGAGCAUGCCUGUUUGAGUGUCAUAGAAUUAUCAACCAUGCUUUCUUAGUAGAGCAUGGCUUGGACUUGGGAGUUGCUGGCAUUCACUGUCAGCUCUUCUUAAAUGCAUUAGCGAUCGAGUUGGGCUAGUCUUUUGACGUGCACGGCCUUGGACGUGAUAAUGAUCGUCCUGGCUGGAAGCGCCAUUCCUUGGAGACGAUGCACAUAGAUUGCUUCCUAAUCAAUCAUGAUGGGAAAGGCAAGGUUUGGCCUGACAUGGGAUCGGUCCGGUCCAUGGAGCUUAGCUACUAGGCAGUCUUUCCGAAGACUGGCGAAAACAAGCAAGAUGAAUCUAGAUCUCAUUAAGGCUUGACUUUUCUUUUCUAUCUAAUAAAGACGCUUUGACCUCAAAUCAGGUAGGACUACCCGCUGAACUUAAGCAUAUCAAUAG